GGGUUGUGAGGUUAAGCGACUAAGCGUACACGGUGGAUGCCCUGGCAGUCAGAGGCGAUGAAGGGCGUGCUAAUCUGCGAUAAGCGCCGGUAAGGUGAUAUGAACCGUUAUAACCGGCGAUACCCGAAUGGGGAAACCCAGUGUGAUUCGUCACACUAUCAUUAACUGAAUCCAUAGGUUAAUGAGGCGAACCGGGGGAACUGAAACAUCUAAGUACCCCGAGGAAAAGAAAUCAACCGAGAUUCCCCCAGUAGCGGCGAGCGAACGGGGAGGAGCCCAGAGCCUGAAUCAGCAUGUGUGUUAGUGGAAGCGUCUGGAAAGGCGCGCGAUACAGGGUGACAGCCCCGUACACAAAAGCGCAUGUGCUGUGAGCUCGAUGAGUAGGGCGGGACACGUGGUAUCCUGUCUGAAUAUGGGGGGACCAUCCUCCAAGGCUAAAUACUCCUGACUGACCGAUAGUGAACCAGUACCGUGAGGGAA
rnacentral:rRNA from 1 species